rnacentral:lncRNA from 1 species
CCCGAAAUGAUAUCCCAAUGAUGAUCUUGUGGAUAUCGAAACAAUAAAAUAGCUAGAGACCUCUCGUAUUUCAAAAAUCAUUAAUGCUAGCAGUCGAAUCGAGACUCGAAGCAGCACAUGAUGUGACAACUUCCUUCAUCCAGCAUGACAGGCUACGUGACAAUAUGCAUGUCGGACCACCUUGGACUUGGGAGUGGGG